AUGAGACUGCUGGCCGAGCAAGGAUUUUCUGGGACUGCAAGACAGUGGGACGGUAAACCAUGCUGGGUCCCCUUGCUGUCCUGUGUGCCCUCCUGUUUCCCGGUGGUGGAGGCAGGGCUCAAGCUUGAGCAGACUCCUGUGGUCGUGGGGCGCUUGGGCACCUCGGCCACCCUGCUGUGCACAGUGGAUAGCUCAGUCUACUACAUCCACUGGUACUUCCACAAGAAGUUUGCAGCCCCCAAGAGGCUCCUCUACCUAGACAUGUCCAGCUCAAGUGUGCAGAGGGAUACAUCUGUGAAAGCACACAAAGUCAAUGCCAAGAAAGGCAAAGACAGUUACAGCUGUAACCUGUUGGUGCAGAAGCUGGAGAAGAGCGACGAAGGCGUGUACUACUGCGCUGCCUGGGAAGAGCACAGCCACUCCUGCUGCCCUGGCCCCUGCACAAAAAGAGCUGUGGCAGACUGGCGAUUGAAGAAUCUGACCAUGCCCAUGAUGAAUGUGGUAAUAAAAUACUCUGCAAAUCAUUUCAAGGGUAAAGGACUUCCUGGAGUUUUGCCACAAAAUGGUUGAAAGCUGGGAUCUAAAGUCACCUCCUGAUUCCAUUUUCUAUGUUGCUGCCCCGCCUCCUGCUUAGUUACUUGCAGUGGAGAGUCAGGGAGCAGAAGCUCAGAAAGCUGAGGGCCUACUUUUCAGCACCCUCCUGCACUGGCAUGUCUGGGGCUCAGCUCCUGUGGGGGGAUAUGAUCCUCAUGCAGGUUAGUGCAUCAGCCCGGAUGAGUCUGGGGACCUCCACCUUCUGCUCUGAAUGAAUGUUGCUCCAUGUGGGAUUUUGGGAUCAGAUUCCCUGCACCUCUCUUCUGUCCUCUGUAAAAUGAAGUUGUGUAACUGCCACAAUUAUGUGAUGACUUCUGUAUCAAUCCAAAAAUUGUAUCAAUAAGAUAUCACUAUACUUACUUCUUAUAAUAUUAGUCAACCUCUUGACAAAAAAAUAAAAUAAAUAAAUAAAGAAGAGCUACA